rnacentral:lncRNA from 1 species
AGAGAAGAGAGCACUGGCUGCACGCCAUUCUUCUGGGGCUGAGGAACCAGGAGAAGAUCGGAUGGCGAAAGGAUGCCCUGCACUUGCUGGUGUUCACGACGGACGACGUGCCCCACAUCGCGUUGGAUGGAAAACUGGGUGGCCUGGUCCAGCCACACGAUGGCCAGUGUCACCUGAAUGAAGCCAAUGAGUACACUGCGUCCGACCAGAUGGACUAUCCAUCGCUUGCCUUGCUUGGGGAGAAGCUGGCAGAGAACAAUAUCAACCUCAUCUUUGCAGUGACGAAGAACCACUAUAUGCUCUACAAGAAUUUUACAGCCCUGAUACCUGGAACCACUGUGGAGAUUUUGCAUGGAGAUUCCAAAAAUAUUAUUCAACUGAUUAUCAAU